rnacentral:SRP_RNA from 1 species
GCUCAGUGUGGCGACAUACACCUGUAAUCCUCGCUCGCGGGGAAGCUGAGGCUUGUAGAGUUCUUGAACUUGGGAGUUCUGAGGAGCAGGGGACUAUGUCAAGAGGGUGUUAAACUUAUUAAUGCUAAGUUCAGCAUUAAUACGGAGAGUCCCUGGGUGUGAGGAAGGGGCACCAAAUUGCCUAAGAGGGGCAAACAGGCCCGUAUUGGAAAUAGAGCAGGUCAAAGCAUCCCUGCUGAGCAGUAGCGGGAUCUGACUGAUGAGUAGCUCCCUGUACUUCCAGCCUGGGCAAGAGAUGGAGAAUCAGCCUUUA